rnacentral:rRNA from 1 species
UACGAAGGGGGCUAGCGUUGCUCGGAAUUACUGGGCGUAAAGGGAGCGUAGGCGGACUGUUAAGUUAGAGGUGAAAGCCCAGGGCUCAACCUUGGAAUUGCCUUUGAUACUGGCAGUCUUGAGUACGGAAGAGGUAUGUGGAACUCCGAGUGUAGAGGUGAAAUUCGUAGAUAUUCGGAAGAACACCAGUGGCGAAGGCGACAUACUGGUCCGUUACUGACGCUGGGGCUCGAAAGCGUGGGGAGCAAACAGG